rnacentral:rRNA from 1 species
AUUGAACGCUGGCGGCAUGCUUUACACAUGCAAGUCGAACGGUAACAGGUUAAGCUGACGAGUGGCGAACGGGUGAGUAAUGCAUCGGAACGUGCCCGAUCGUGGGGGAUAACACUUCGAAAGAAGUGCUAAUACCGCAUACGAUCUGAGGAUGAAAGCGGGGGACCGUAAGGCCUCGCGCGAUCGGAGCGGCCGAUGUCAGAUUAGGUAGUCGGUGGGGUAAAGGCCUACCAAGCCGACGAUCUGUAGCUGGUCUGAGAGGACGACCAGCCACACUGGGACUGAGACACGGCCCAGACUCCUACGGGGGGCAGCAGUGGGGAAUUUUGGACAAUGGGCGCAAGCCUGAUCCAGCAAUGCCGCGUGCAGGAAGAAGGCCUUCGGGUUGUAAACUGCUUUUGUACGGAGCGAAAAGGCUCUCUCUAAUACAGGGGGCUGAUGACGGUACCGUAAGAAUAAGCACCGGCUAACUACGUGCCAGCAGCCGCGGUAA